rnacentral:sRNA from 1 species
UCCAUAUGGACCGCAGAAAAUCGUCUGG